rnacentral:rRNA from 1 species
UAAAGCUACAAAGAGCUAAUGGGGAAUGCCUUGGUACUGACAGCCGACGAAGGACGUGUAAAGCUGCGAUAAGCCACGGGGAACUGCUAAAAGGUCUUGAUCCGUGGAAAUCCGAAUGGGGAAACCCUCCAGAGUUAAAACUUUGGAACCCGUAACUGAAUACAUAGGUUGCGCGGAGGAAAGCCUGUGAACUGAAACAUCUUAGUAACAGGACGAAGAGAAAAUAAACCAAUGAUUCCGAGAGUAGCGGCGAGCGAAAUUGGAAGAGCCUAAAUUGUGUGUACGUGAUAGCCUGCAAGCGUUGUGCACAUGAGGUUGUGGGACUUGCAUCAUAUUUUGCAGAAUAUGGAUUGAGUUAGAAAAUUAUUUAUUAGUUAAAGUCAACUGGGAAGUUGCGCCAUAGAGAGUGAUAGCCUCGUAAACGACAAUAAAUAAUCUCAAGUAAGUAUCCCGAGUAAGGCGGGGCACGUGAAACCCUGUCUGAAUCCACCGGGACCAUCCGGUAAGGCUAAAUACUAGUCAGUGACCGAUAGUGAACGAGUACAGUGAUGGAAAGGCGAAAAGAACAGUGAGAAGCUGAGUGAAAUAGACCCUGAAACCGUUAGCUUACAACCAGUCAGAGCACAAUUAAUUGUGUGAUGGCGUGCCUGUUGAAGAAUGAGCCGGCGAGUUAUUUUUUGUUGCGAGGUUAAGGAGAUCAUAUCCGGAGCCACAGGGAAACCGAGUCUGAAUAGGGCGUUAAGUAACAGGAAAUAGACCCGAACCUUGGUGAUCUAACCUUGACCAGGAUGAAGCGUGGGUAACACUACGUGGAGGUCCGAACCAACCGAUGUUGAAAAAUCGGUGGAUGAGUUGAGGUUAGGGGUGAAAUGCCAAUCGAACCAAGAGCUAGCUGGUUCUCCCCGAAAUGCGUUUAGGCACAGCGUUGGAUUUAUCUUGCAGGAGGUAGAGCACUGGUUUUGUGCGGGCGUCGAAAUGAUGUACCAAACAAUGUCAAACUCCGAAUACCUGUAAUGUCAUUAUCCAGCAGUGAGGCUAUGAGUGAUAAGAUCCAUGGCCAAGAGGGAAACAGCCCAGAACGCCAGUUAAGGUCCCUAAUAUAUGCUAAGUGGUUAAGGAGGUAGAGUUACUGAGACAACCAGGAGGUUGGCUUAGAAGCAGCCAUCCAUUGAAAGAGUGCGUAAUAGCUCACUGGUCAAGUGACUCCGCGCCGAAAAUACACCGGGACUAAAGCAUAUAACCGAAGCUGCGUCAUAUAGUUUACUAUAUGGGUAGGGGAGCGUACUGUAGUAAGACGAAGCUAGAGUGAAAACACUAGUGGAUGAGGCAGUAGUGAGAAUGUCGGCAUAAGUAGCGAAAACAUUGGUGAGAAUCCAAUGCACCGAAAACCUAAGGUUUCCCACGGCAGGCUCGUCCGCGUGGGGGUAGUCGGGUCCUAAGCUCAGGCCAAACGGCGUAGGCGAUGGACAAUAGGUUGAUAUUCCUAUACUAUCUGAUAAUCGUUAUCAGAAGCGGAGGGACGCAAGAGGAUAAGCACGCAGUCGAAUGGAAGAGACUGUAUAAGCGUGUAGCUAGGUUUGACAGGAAAAUCCGUCAAAUCGUUAAUGUGAGGCGUGAUGUGGAGAGUCUACGGACUCGAAGGUGUUGACUCCAAAUUGCCAAGAAAAUCUUCGCUCUCGAGAUUAUUGGGUAUCCGUACCGUAAACCGCCACAGGUAGGUUGGUAGAAAAUACUAAGGUGCGCGAGACAACUCUCGCUAAGGAACUCGGCAAAAUCACCUCGUAACUUCGGGAGAAGAGGUACCCUGGUAGCGUGAAGCGAUUUACUCGUGAAGCGUGAUAGGGUCGCAGUGAAUAGGCCCAAGCGACUGUUUACCAAAAACACAGGUCUCUGCUAAGUCGAUCAAGACGAUGUAUAGGGGCUGACGCCUGCCCGGUGUCGGAAGGUUACGCGGAAAUGUUAGAAGCAAUUCAAAGCAUCGAAGCUAAGCCCCGAUGAACGGCGGCCGUAACUAUAACGGUCCUAAGGUAGCGAAAUUCCUUGUCAGGU